AACGCCGUCGUUUUAGUUUCAUCCAAUUUAUUCCCAGUGCUCCCGAUAGCUGUUCUUUUUCCCCUUAACAAAAUUUCCCUCAUUCCAUCUCUUCUCCUUUAAUCCCUAAAUUUUCAUCCCCAAGUUCCCAACCCAUUAGCCACCGAAGACGCCGACCGGACCACCUGGUGCAUCGCCCUCGACUAACCUCUCUGCUGCGUCACCGUCGCCUGCUCAUCCUGCUCAGAAACGAGAUUAUAUUUUUCACAACGGUAAAUUAAAUGGGAAGCGCCAUGUACGACCUUACUACUUUGAGUUCGUCUCUCAUGUUAAUAAACGAUGGGAAGGUAAAACAAUAGUGGAUUUGUUCGCUCAAGAGUUCAGAGGUCGAUCUAGAGAUUACUAUAUUAUUUUUCUAGAAACAAUAUGCAACGAUGAAAGGAUUAUUGAAAGAAAUAUUCGCCUUAAAAUUCGACAAAGUCCUGACUAUGCAGAAGAUUUUGCAGGCCAGAUUUCGAUUAUAUCACCUGUUUCAAGUUGACUGAAGUCAACUAUCUAGUAUAAAUACUCAACCAUUCAAAUCUUGUGAAGCUCAUUGGAUACUGUUGUGAGGAUGAGCAUCGAUUGCUUGUCUAUGAAUACAUGGCAAGUGGAAGCCUUGAAAAGCACCUUUUCCGCAUGCAGUUUUGCCAGAUUUUGCUGAGGUGUACAGCUU